AAAGAGUGAAAGAGUGUUGUGUGCUUUUGCUGAGUUUAGGAUGGUGUCAAUUGUGCCUCAGGAGAAGAGUUUAGACAUUCUGUCCUGAUGAAUGUAAUCAAGUCUUUAUUUCAUGGUUUCUCUUAACGCAAAUACGUACAGGUUCAUAUUCGUCGAUGAGGGUGAGAGGAAAACUAUCGCCAACAGAAAGAAUCCAGAUAGGAAGAGAGAAAAAGAAAGACCAGAGAUGGAUUUUGUGUCCUUUUUAAAACAGCCUCAAUCACCUGAUUCCUCCCUGCCACUUCUCUGCAAAUGAUAGAGUUCACACAUCUAUAAUUCUCUCAUAGGUUCAUGUGGGCUGCUCCUCAUAACCCUGCUCAAACACUACUGAGGCAUCAGGAUCUUCAAGAUUCAGAAUCACAUAACAAUUGUUUUGAGCUGAAGACAGCAGAAGAACAUAAGGAUACCCUGUACUUCUCAGGAGGAUAGGAACAUCAGAUUUGGAAUGGGUAGGUCACAGGAAUUUCUCCAGAUGAAUUGUGCUGAUGCUUUUCCUUGCAGGGUGCUUUGGUGGGCUCUUCUGGGGACAAAAGAAAGCACAACAAAAAAAGGAAAUAAAUGGCAUAUGCAAACC
rnacentral:lncRNA from 10 species